GUAGGUGAACCUGCGGAAGGAUCAUUAACACGUAUCCUUACGUUUAACCACCCGUGCACCUUCAUUGGAGACUUGCAACCCCCCGCCGGGGGCAAGUAUCCCAAACCGCGUUCACCUGUGGCGAAAUGACGACGAACGGUAAAACGUUGAAGAAUCGUCAGAAGCGGCAAGUCUAAAUAAGGAGAUUCGGAUUGCAGUGGGGAGUUGAAGCCCUUGGAAAUGGCCCUGGAAUCGCAAAUUGAGGCGAAUUGCCAGAUGCGCUUUUCGGGGGGUUGGCACCUUUCCUGCUUUCCUGGAGUUUUCUUUCUUGCCGCGCGUUGCGGGUUGCGCAAGUGGUUUUGACCUGACCGCUGGAAAAAUUGACACCAUGACUAACCAACCACGCUCCUACCCCCAACGGGGUCCGGAGUAGGUAACCCCGAACAACUGUUAACAAUGGAUAUCUUGGCUCUC
rnacentral:misc_RNA from 1 species